rnacentral:rRNA from 1 species
UACGUAGGGGGCUAGCGUUGUCCGGAUUUAUUGGGCGUAAAGAGCGUGUAGGCGGCCAUGUAGGUCCGGUGUGAAAACUCGAGGCUUAACCUCGAGAUGUCAUCGGAAACCAUUUGGCUGGAGUCCGGAAGAGGAGAGUGGAAUUCCUGGUGUAGCGGUGAAAUGCGCAGAUAUCAGGAAGAACACCAAUGGCGAAAGCAGCUCUCUGGACGGUACUGACGCUGAGACGCGAAAGCGUGGGGAGCGAACAGG